AAGUCGUAACAAGGUUUCCGUAGGUGAACCUGCGGAAGGAUCAUCAAUGAAUUUUCAAAAUUCAUUUUGGCUUUGGGAUUGGCAGAUUCUUUCGGUAUUCCGCUGGAAGAGCUUGUUUUUCCUAUUGCCUUAUCAACCAUCAGUCUCAGUCUACUAACAACGGUGUCUUGCAAGAUGUUCAUGUUCAUUCUUCAUGAGCAUCAAAUAUGCGCAAGCCCUUUGCGAUUGACUUUGACUUUUUGAGUAGUUCGAAUGGCGUUUUCGCUUGUCAAGGGGAUUUUUGGAUUUUGGACUUUUAAUCUAUUUUUCCAACGCCCCGUGCGAAACUCGUUCUUUACUCUCUACUCUUGUGGGUAUCAAAACUAAUUAAAAAUAUAUAACUUUUAACGAUGGAUCUCUUGGCUCCC
rnacentral:misc_RNA from 1 species